CCUACGGGAGGCAGCAGUGAGGAAUAUUGGUCAAUGGCCGGAAGGCUGAACCAGCCAAGCCGCGUGAAGGACGAAGGUGCCAAGCAUUGUAAACUUCUUUUGUCAAGGGACAAAAUCAGGCUCGAGAGCCUGACCGAGUGUACUUUAAGAAAAAGCAUCGGCUAACUCCGUGCCAGCAGCCGCGGUAAUACGGGGGAUGCGAGCGUUAUCCGGAUUUAUUGGGUUUAAAGGGGGCGUAGGCGGGCUGUUAAGUCAGCGGGAAAAGCCCGGGGCUCACCCCCGGAGAGCCGCUGAAACUGGCUGUCUUGAGAUGUCGAGAGGUAGGCGGAAUGCGCAGUGUAGCGGUGAAAUGCUUAGAGAUUGCGCAGAACUCCGAUUGCGAAGGCAGCAUACCGGCGUCGAUCUGACGCUGAGGCACGAAAGCGUGGGUAUCGAACAGGAUUAGAUACCCUUGUAGUC
rnacentral:rRNA from 1 species